GCUUUCACGAGGAUGCUUUUGCAACCCGCCUCACCCCCGAGAUCGCUGGUGACAUCGUGUCUCCUGGCGACACGGGCUCCAGCGCUGCAGCCGCCGCCCCCUCUGCACAGAUCCGGGGGGUGAGCGGGGCCCCGGGGUGCUGGGCACUGCGCCUUGGCUGCAGGCGGGUCUGCUAACUCGGGGCGCUCGGGAUUGCCGGUAGGACGGAGCUGAACCUAAAGACAGCACCGAGCCGCGGCUGCAAACACUCCCAGGGACGAGUAGAGCCCCGCUCCAGUCUCCUUGCCUCCCCACUGAUGAGGGGCUGGAGGACGCCUUCUUUGCAGAAGAGGCCCUCAGCUUCGCGCAGCUAGAAGAAGCUGAGAUAAGUGAUCUGGAAGGUGCUUUCGUACAGGUGGAAGAGAAGACGGUUGAAGUUACCGAAACUGAUGCUGAAGCUUCAGAUGCCUUGUCCUUUGCUUGAA
rnacentral:lncRNA from 1 species